UCCCUUUUAAGGUGCGCCCCAGAAAGGUCCACGUGUCAAUGCUAACGUUGCAUCCUUCUUGCUCGGCGCCGGAAUCUGUCCAAACUUUUGAGAGACCCAAGGAAUUGCAGAUGCUGGAUUCUUGUGCAAAGCACAAAUGCUGGAGGAACUCAACGGGUCAGGCAGCAUCUGGAUGGGAAUGGAUAGGUGACGUUUCGGGUCACUUUUGUUUGGUAAAAAUUAUUCAUAGCAAACAAAAUAAAUACUUAAAUGUUUAUUUAUCAGUGACUAUUUCAUAAAUGCCUUUGCGAGCCACGGGAAUUCAAAAUGGUUUAAUACAUCUUAAAGUCCUAAGGAAAUCUUGAAAAAACAAAGUUUUAGCAGCUGAAGAAGCCAUUCACUGUUUUACAUUCAUAGUGAGUAAAAAGAGGAAAACAACAAGUAGUCGAUAUUCAUGUGAUAUGUAUAAAGCUCAUUGGAAUGAACUGAACAAUUGGUAAGAGAAUAAUAUUGAACCCCACGGAAUACAUCAUAAUGAAGACUGUUUCGAGGCUGCAGUGUCCAAUAAGUGGAGAGGGUACAAGAGGGAGUGACCAGAGUCAGCCUCGUCCUUGAUUAUGCUGGUGGCCUUGCCGAAGAAGCGAAAAAUUCAGAUGGAGUCAAUGGAAGGGAGAUUGGUUUGUAUGAUGGUCUGGGUUUGUCCACAAAUCUCUGUGAUUUUUUGCAUUUCCUCAAGCAAACUUUAAGCACAUCCUUGAAUCGUCUCCUUUGCCUGCCUCAUAAUCUUCGAUCACAGAGGUCAGAAUAGAGAUCUCUUACGGGAGUGGCAUUUUCCUCUGUAACUAACACUACAAAGCUGUAACACUAUAUGCUGCAUUCUGGUAUUUUUCUCUUUGCACUACCUGUUGUACUUGUCUAUGGCUUAAUUAUACUCAUUUAUGGUAUAGCUUGAUUUUACGGGAUAGUGCACAAACAAAGGCUUUUCACAAUAUCUCAGUACACAUGACAAUAAUAAACCAAUACCAAUUUUUUCUGUUGCUUCCCACAACAUCCUAGGAUAUAACCGCUCAGGCCUUAGUGAUUUUUGUACCUUUAAACAUUUCAAAUGUUCAAAAACCUCCUCUUUCAUGGAGAAAUUACAGCAGUGUUUAUACAUCCACUAGUGGCGCCACACUGAAGGUAGCCUCUGCCGACAGCCUGUCCUUUUUCUUCUAUCUUUUUUAAAUUUUAGUUUGUCUUAAAAGUGUGUUUUGUGGAUUCUUUACUUUUCUAUGUGGGGAGGGGGUUAGGGCAAGGGAGAAAUUGUCUUCCAGUUGCUUCCUGGCGAGGACGCGACUAUUCUCCGGGUCGCGUCCUCGCCCCCCUCCUCUUGGCCUACCUACUGGAUCGGAGCGGCCUUUCCUGCCGGGGGACAGGACCAAAGCUUCAGCAGUGGAGUCGCAGCACUGGAUUCACCGUAGAGAGGAGCGGAGCGAUGCCUACCUGGAUCGCUGUUUGAAGCUCCGGAGUGCUGGGCGGUGCUGACCUCAACAUCGCGGAGUCCCUGGAACCCUUUACCGAGGGCCGCCAGCGUGUGUCACACCUGAUAGAGAUCUCUAUUCUGACCUCUGUGAUCGAAGAUUAUGAGGCAGGCAAAGGAGACGAUUCAAGGAUGUGCUUAAAGUUUGCUUGAGUAAAUGCAAAAAAUCACAGAGAUUUGUGGACAAACCCAGACCAUCAUACAAAUUGCGCGGCCUGUGGACUCCGGGAGCCGCGGACUCUGGUAGGAAGUGGCUGACUUGGAGGUCUAUGCCGCGGAGGUUGUUUUCCCGGUUCGACAUCGGAGUUCCAUCUCGGUGAGCAGGCCUCAAUAUCGGCCCUCCCAUAGUGGCGACUGUGGAGGGCUCAGGAGGACCCGACCACGGGUGAACAUUAAGACCAACAGAGGAAGAGGACUGACUUUGGUGCCUUCCCUCACAGUGGGAAACUUUGAUUCUGCUGUGUGGGGAUGUUUUUAUGUUGGACUCUAUCGUGUGUUGUGUACUUUAUUUUAAUUGUAUGGCUGUAUGGUGAACACACAUUUCACUGUGCCAACUGGCACAUGUGACAAAUAAAUGUACCUUGUACAUAGUCCCCCCAUUUCAGGGCACCAUAAUGUUUGGGACACAGCAAUGUCAUGUAAAUGAAAGUAGCCUGUUUAGUAUUUUGGUGCAUAUCCUUUGCAUGCAAUGACUGCUUGAAGUCUGCAAUUCAUGGACAUCACCAGUUGCUGGGUGUCUUCUCUGGUGAUGCUCUGCCACGCCUGUAUUGCAGCCAUCUUUAGCUUAUGCUUGUUUUGGGGGCUAGUCCCCUUCAGUUUUCUCUUCAGCAUAUAAAAGGCAUGCUCAAUUGGGUUCAAAUUGGGUUAUUGACUUGGCUACUCAAGAAUUGACCAUUUUUUAGCUUUGAACAACUGCUUUGUUGCUUUACCAGUAUGUUUGGGAUCAUUGUCUUGCUGUAGAAUGAACCGCCGGCCAAUGAGUUUUGAGGCAUUUGUUUGAACUUGAGCAGAUAGGGUGUGUCUAUACACUUCAGAAUUCAUUAUGCUACUCCACCAGCAGUUGUAUCAUCAAUGAAGAUAAGUGAGCCAGUACCUUCAGCAGCCAUACAUACCCAGGCCAUAACACCCAUGUUUCACAGAUGAGGUGGUAUGCUUUGGAUGUUGGGCAGUUCCUUUUCUCCUCCAUACUUUGCUCUUGCCGUCACUCUGAUACAAGUUAAUCUUCGUGUCAUCUGUCCACAAGACCUUUUUCCAGAACUGUAGUUGCUCUUUUAAGCACUUCUUGGCAAAUUGUAACCUGGCCAUCCUAUUUUUGCGGAAAACCAGUGGUUUGCAUCUUGCAGUGUAGCCUCUGUAUUUCUGUUCAUGAAGUCUUCUGUGGACAGUGGUCAUUGACAAAUCCACACCUGACUCCUGAAGAGUGUUUCUAAUCUGUCGGACAGGUGUUUGGGGAUUUUUCUUUAUUACAGAUAAUUCUUCCAUCAUCAGCUGUGGAGGUCUUCCUUGGCCUGCCAGUCCCUUUGCGAUUAGUAAGCUCACCAAUGCUCUCUUUCUUCUUAAUGAUGUUCCAAACAGUUGAUUUUGGUAAGCCUAUGCUUUGGCUGACGUCUCUAACAGUUUUAUUUUUGUUUCUCAGUCUCAUAAUGGCUUCUUUGAUUUUCAUUGGCACAGCUUUGGUCCUCAUGUUGAUAAACAGCAAUAAAAGUUUCCAAAGGUGAUGGAAAGACUGGAGGAAAGACUGGGUGCUGAGAGAUCUCUUAUACCUGCAUUAAGGAGGCAUUUAAACACACCUGAGCAGUUACAAACACCUGUGAAGCCAUGUGUCCAAAACAUUAUGGUGCCUGAAAUGGGGAGACUAUGCAUAAGCACAGCUGCAAUUUCUACAUGGUGAAACCAAAAUGUAUAAAAAUACCCUUUAAUAAAAUCUGACAAUGUGCACUUUAUCUACAUGUGAUUUUUUCUAUUACAAAUCUUAAAUUGUACAGAGUACAGAGGCAAAUAAAUAAAUUAUGGGUCUUUAUCCCAAACAUUAUGGAGGGCACUGCAAGUGGUAGCAGCUCCAUUGCUUUUUUUUGUUUAUCAUUUCAAUGGUUCAUAUAAUAAAAUCUAACGUUCACAUACACACUCUAUUUGUUGACAACCUUCUGAUCCUAACUACCAUCGUGCGGAAAUUCUAUAGUUUACAGCGUAGGAUUAUAAUUCAAUUUCCAAGCACAGUACCGUGAGUGCCUUGGAAUUUCUUGGGCUUUGCUUAACUUUUACAGUAAACAUAAUAAAAUCUUUGUUUACAUGCUUGUACUCUGUUUCUGCCAGCACUUUUGGAGAAUGUGUGGUAUUGCAGAGACAGCUUCCGUGAAAUAUACAAUCAUACAGCACCGAAACAGGUCCUUUAGCCCAACUUGCCAAUGUUGAACAAGAUGCCCGAUCUACACUAGUCCCACCUGCUUGCAUGGCCCAUAUCCCUCUAACCUUUCUUAUCCAUGUACAGUAACUGCAGUGCUGUACGAUUGAUGUAAUUAGAAAUUGCUGUACUGUGUUGCAAUGUUUAGUUUAGAGAUACAGCAUGGAAACGCCUUUGUCAACCAUAGAUCACCUGUUCACACGAGUUCUAUGUUAUCCCACUUUCUCAUCCAUUCCAUACGCAAUAGGGGCAAUUUUACAGAGGCUAAUUAACCUACAGACUCGCAUGUCGUAGGAAUGUGGGAGAAACCCAGUGAAAAUCUACACGGUCACAGGAAUAAUGUGCAAACUCCAUACCAACAGGAUCUGAAGUCAGGAUUGAACUCGGGUCACUGGCGCUGUGAGACAGCAGCUUUACCAGCUGCAUCACUGCCCCUAUUGUGUUGCAAAUCCACACCAAAUCCUGGCAUCACAUCACUCCAGUCCUCAAACAACUUCACUGGCUUCCAAUCUCCCACCGGAUCACUUACAAAAUCCUGAUCCUCACCUACAAAGCCCUCCACCAUCUGGCCCCCCCAUAUCUCACUGACCUCCUCUCCCCCUACCAACCCUCACGGUCCCUCAGAUCCAUAUCAGCCGGUCUCCUCUCCAUCCACAAGUCCAACCUCCGCAGUUUUGGGGACAGAGCCUUCUCCAGGGCAGCUCCCAGGUUCUGGAACUCCCUCCCCCAACUGAUCUGCAAUUCCGUGUCCCUCACCAUCUUCCAGUCCCGCCUCAAGACCCAUCUCUUCACCUCUGCCUAUCCUUAGCCCCACGUCCCCCUCCCUUUUCAUCUGUGCAUUAAUUGCCUCAUUUUUCCCUUUGAGAAUAGGGAGGAUUCAAACAAGAGGACAUGACUUCAGAAUUAAGGGACAGAAGUUUAGGGGUAAUAUGAGGUGGAACUUCUUUACUCAGAGAGUGGUAGCGGUGUGGAAUGAGCUUCCAGUGGAAGUGGUGGAGGCAGGUUCAUUGGUAUCAUUUAAAAAUAAAUUGGAUAGGCAUAUGGAUGAGAAGGGAAUGGAGGGUUAUGGUAUGAGUGCAGGCAGGUGGGACUAAGGGGGAAAAAAAAUUUGUUCGGCACGGACUUGUAGGGCCGAGCUGGCCUGUUUCCGUGCUGUAAUUGUUAUAUGGUUAUAUGGUUAUGGUUAUUGUGUUUUGAAUUGAAUUCUGUCUUUACUUUGUGUACUAGUCAUGUCUCUACUAUUUAUUUCAUUCCCCUUACAUGUUUUUCCUCUACCUGCUAAAUUUUUGUAAGGUGUCCUUGAGACGCUUGAAAGGCGCCCAUAAAUAAAAUUUA